UGAGGAAUAUUGGUCAAUGGCCGAAAGGCUGAACCAGCCAUGCCGCGUGAAGGUCAGUGCCCUAUGGGCGUUAAACUUCUUUUAUAAGGGAAUAAAGUGGGUCUCGUGAGACUUUUUGCAUGUACCUUAUGAAUAAGGACCGGCUAAUUCCGUGCCAGCAGCCGCGGUAAUACGGAAGGUCCGGGCGUUAUCCGGAUUUAUUGGGUUUAAAGGGAGCGUAGGCCGGAGAUUAAGCGUGUUGUGAAAUGUAGUGGCUCAACCUCUGCACUGCAGCGCGAACUGGUCUUCUUGAGUACGCACAACGUGGGCGGAAUUCGUGGUGUAGCGGUGAAAUGCUUAGAUAUCACGAAGAACUCCGAUUGCGAAGGCAGCUCACGGGAGCGCAACUGACGCUGAAGCUCGAAAGUGCGGGUAUCGAACAGGAUUAGAUACCCUGGGUAGU
rnacentral:rRNA from 1 species